rnacentral:lncRNA from 1 species
CACGAUCAGAAUAUUGUAAAAUUACCCAAUAUGAGAUAAAACAUACAAUAGAUUAAAACACAUAAAUUAACUUAUGAAUUUUCUUAUGAUAUCAUUUACGCGGACAAGGCCUAGUUAAUAGAGAAAUCUCCGGUCCCGAAAUUUUACAAUUGCUCGUCGCGGAACAAGGUCUAGCUUCUCGGGUGGUCUUAAUUCGCGAGAACUCAAGAUCACAUGAUUUGUAAAUGGCAUAACUGUCACAUAUGAACUCCGUUUGAUCUGAUUCUUCUUCGAGGAGCUCCAUAAUUGAGUUGAGAACAUUCCCCAAGUUAUUUCAUGCGUAUAAGCCUCGUGGUUUGGAAGAUAUGAGUCAAACAAUGAACAUAUAUCUUUACUGCUUCCCAUGAUCAAGCCAUGUAUGUCUGUGUUGCCCGGUGCACUACCCAAGGGCACAUCAGAACCCACAUGAAAUAAAGAGUUAGAGUGUUAGAAGUUAGAACCGAGAACAUAUAAAGCGACAACAAACCAAGAUUGAUCUUUUCUUACCUGUGACAGGCAUGCAGUUACUGUCGUUAAAAAACCCAUUGCUGGAGCUGGAUCUUCAUCAUCGGCGGACGGAAAGUGAGUUCGCAGGUUUCUCCCGAUGGCUUUAAAGAAACUCCAUUGUUGGAGAUGGAAGACACAUGGGAGUCUGGAAGCAUCACCGACCCUCAAAUCGCCACCACUAGAGCUCAAUAGGUCGUCCGCGAACAUCUAAGACCGAAUUGCCUUCUUUACCUUCUCUAUCUCUUUCAUUUUUGCAGGUGAAGACAAAAAUGAGGAUUAGGUUGCGGGUCUUCAAUUUCCUGCAAGUCAACCUAUGGCACAUCCUUCAUUCGGUCCGAUCUCUCACAGUCCCAUCCCGUGAAACCUUCUUUUUUUCCGGACCUACUAAAACCUAUUCCAAUUUCACUCCGCAGCAAGCCUUUACGAACCAGGCCCGCGGUCAAACUUCUACAUUGCCAUUCCUACCGGAAACCAUCAUUAAUCUUUAUCUCCUCUAAAUUCGACCAAGUCAAUGAUGACGUAUUUGAUCUAAUUUUCACACGCUUUAAAUCGAAACUCUUAAAAUUCAUUUGGUCCAAAUAUCCCUAAAGUCAGCCUAUAAUACACUUAUAAACAACUUUAAACAUUCAAAAAAUAUAUUUAGCUCAGCACACUAUAAACAACUUUGAACACAUUCAGGUUAUGAAUGAUGACCAAGGAACAACGAGGAAUAAUGCAUUCCCUAACAUUCAUAAAAAAAAUUACCAUUCACAAUGAAUAAUUUUUCCUUCUCAUUCCCUACCAUUCUUUUUUUUUGAAGAGAAAUGAAGAACAAAGUUAUUCCUUAUCAAAUAUGGGAUGAAACAACCAUUUUUUUUCAUUCCUGUAAUUUUAUUCCUCUACGUUCUUUUACUAUUCGUUUUUUUUUUUUAGAAUGGUCACCAAUCGAACCCUCGAUAAAUUACCUGUUACUCUAUUAGUAGUUAGUAACUGCAGUUUUACAGUGAAUUUACUGUUGCUACUAUGUCACGUUCAGAAUAUUGUAAAAUUACCCAAUGUGAGAUAAAACAUAGAAUAGAAUAAAACACAUAAAUUAACUUAUGAAUUUUCUUAUGAUAUCAUUUACGCAGACAAGGCCUAGUUAAUAGAGAAAUCUCCGGUCCCCAAAUUUUACAAUUGCUCGUCGCGGAACAAGCAAAUAUAUAUACGGUUACAAAUUAUGCAAAAGGAGAGGAACAGAAGAAGCUAUUUAGUAGCUCAAGGCUCUCAUUUUUGCAGCUGCUUCUUUGAUUUGUUCAAUAGUGAAAAUGCCAAAGAUGUCGUCAUCUUUAAGGGCGUUAAUCA